rnacentral:ncRNA from 1 species
AGACGCUAGCGUGUGCCCAGGGAAGAGUUCUCUUUUCUUUUUAACAUGCAUUUCCUACCCUGGAAUCGGAUUACCCGGCGAUAGGGAGGAAGCCAUGGCAAAGCACCUUGAUUUUUAGGGUGUCCUGCGCGCUCACGACGGCCCUUGAAAAU